CAGAGAAAACAGGGAGUAACCCUGUGAGAUAACACCCUAGCGAAGACCGCUAGAUAAUUGGCGAUUCUAAUUAAAUUUAUGACGUGGCGAAAAGCAAUUGGCUAUUACACAAAUAAAACCCAUCUUCACUUCCGUGAAGAAUGGGAGACCUCCGCGCACACACCUGAAAAACCUCUGAACGUAUGCGUGAGAAUAACUGACAAAUUGAUCGCUUGUCAGUCUCCCCCGUCUCGACCUUAUCAGACGUAAAUCAACAACCUGCCAGCCUGAUUUUUUCUCCGUUUAUCUGCCUGAUCAACGAACUCUUAUGCAGACCGACAUACGACCUUCGAACCUUAAGCUGUAACUAACCAAGUAUCUCUGACCUCCGCUAUUCACCACCUUGACGGCAGGAAGCUGAAGAUGGAAGGUUGUUUUUUUUACCUCCCUGCCUCCCAUCUGACACCUCCAGGGAAGGAAUUCUACCCGAUCAACACAUCAAAGAGCUACUCAACACAGCUCACAAAGACACUCUCAUGGACCCAGAGGGACAACCUUCCAUCUUCAGUUCCCUUUGUGCAAAAAUGAAGUUUAUUUCCUACCUAUGGGGACUUUUUACCAUCUUGUACCAUCUACACUUUUCUCAGAGCCUGACAAAGGGACUUUGCUCCCGAAAGCUUGCAGAAAAGGACAAUUUUCUUGCCAUUUUCCAGGCGGUCUAAUAAAAGGUAUCAUUUUGGAA